UUAAGAAAAAAUCUGACCGCGAAAAUCAUAUUUUAGAAAAAAGUUUUAAUUCUAAGUGCACUUUAAUUGAAUUUAUAAAUCGUUUACUUAUUGUACGUGUAGCAAGGCACAAAUGCUCAGUUGCCGAACAGAGUUCAUACUGACUUCUAUAAAUAAUUCAGUUGAGUCUGGAGGGAGAAGAGAGAGACAUGCCUUUUACUUUUACUUUUUAACGUUUUGGCAGGCUGCCAUUUAGCAUAAGCAUGCAUCCAUUUAAGAAACCAAGUCUUCUCAGGAAAUAUGUUAAAUAUUUUUAGAUUUAACUAUUUUUAUCAAAGUGCUCCGUGGGUGUCAUUCAUAAUAUUGUUACUUAUUCUUCGGAGUCUACAAGCUCAUGAAUUUUCAAAAUUAUCUACCAAUUAUCAAAAUUCCAAUACAGUAACAUUUUUUUGCACCACGGCAUAUUCGGGCAGCGGAGAUUCUUGAUUUUUUUGCGCACCAGCAAUUGUUGAGUUUUUAGCUGAUGGCGCAUUUGGACCUUUCUGCACAAUGGCAUACUCAGUUUUUAUCAAAUUUAUCAAACUUUCCAAAUCCUGGUCUGGGCCUCAAUCUAUCCACCGCCGCUUCCGGUCCAUGGCUGUGCCCAUUCUCAAAAUGACGCUCUGCAUUCAAAGCAGGCACACUUGCACUCCAAUUA